GAUAAUAAAAGGUCGGUUAGCAUUCCCCUUUUCAGAUUUAAUUCGAAAUCGCUCGCACAAUUAAAAGCCCUUGGCAGGCAUUCGCCAAUUUUCACGUAUUAUGAACAUACAUACAUACAUAUAUAUGUAUGCAUGCACAUACAUAAUAUACAUACAUACGUACUUAAAUUUUUCACAGGAGGCAUGACUAGAGAUUCGCACAUAUGUACAUACAUAUGUAAUUAGAUAUGUAUACAUUCUGGUAUAUGUACUCUUCAAGAAGAAGUGCAAUGAAGUGAAAUGGACUGGCUUGAGCGGACAAACAUACAUAUGUACAUAUAAAUUUACAAAUUAUAUUAUUCCAAUGUUAUUGAA